GCCCUUAUGGCGGAAUGGUAGACGCGGUAGACUCAAAAUCUACUGCCCGUGAGGGUGUGCUGGUUCGAGUCCGGCUAAGGGCA
rfam:Anaplasma phagocytophilum HZ, complete genome.